CCUGAGAAACCCAAAAGAUCGAAUGGGGAGAUUCAUCGUCAGCUCGUUUUGUAUAUAUGCAUGUUGUGAUAUGGGUUACUAUUUAUAGUAUUGCCUGUACACUCUUGUGUAUUUAUUCGCAAGAUGUGGUCGGCGUGCACUUCUCCCCUAGUAGGACAUCGUGACCCGUUGAGUGUUGGUCUACGGCCCAAGUGGAAGCUUUUAAUGAACUUUGUUUAUUGAAAACCCUUGGUGUUUCCUGACCAGCGCUCGUCGGUAUUCGUAUGGUAUUGAGCCGCAUAUUKUAUGCGUUCUGUCCGUCACAAGCGAGGCUAGUUACCGAUAGUACGGACCUAGUGCCGUCGUUGGUACUAAUCAGCUGUUGGUUGUACGGAAUCCUAGGACUGGCUCUAUGAAAAUAUAUACCGGUCAGCGAUGCUACUGCUUUGGGUACUUUCAGGACCCGUCUUGAAACACGGACCAAGGAGUCUAACAUGUACGCGAGUCAUUGGGAUUUUUAUAAAUUAAACCUAAAGGCAUAAUGAAAGUAAAGGUCGUCCUUGCGUCGACCAAGGGAGGAUGGGCUAUGUUUCGAUAUAGCUCCGCACUCCCGGGGCGUCUCACUCUCAUUNCGAGAAGAGGCGCACCUAG
rnacentral:rRNA from 1 species